rnacentral:tRNA from 2 species
CUGUAGCUCAGUUGGAUAGAGCACCGGCCUUCUAAGCCGGGUGUCGGGGGUUCGAAUCCCUUCAG